CCUACGGGAGGCAGCAGUGGGGGAUAUUGCACAAUGGGGGAAACCCUGAUGCAGCGACGCCGCGUGGGCGAAGAAGGAUUUCGGUAUGUAACGUUCUAUCAACAGGGAAGAAGAAAUUACGGUACCUUGGUAAGAAGCACCAGCUAAAUACGUUCCAUCAGCCGCGGUAAAACAUAUGGUGCAAGCGUUAACCGGAUUUACUGGGGGUAAAGGGAGCGCAGGCGGCACGGGAAGCCAGAUGUGAAAGCCCUAGGCCUAACCGGGGGAUUGCAUUGGGAACUAUCGGGCUAGAGUUCCGGAGAGGAAAGCGGAAUUCCUAGUGUAGCGGUGAAAUGCGUAGAUAUUAGGAGGAACACCAGUGGCGAAGGCGGCUUACUGGACGGUGACUGACGCUGAGGCACGAAAGCGUGGGGAGCAAACAGGAUUAGAUACCCCGGUAGUC
rnacentral:rRNA from 1 species